GACGAACGCUGGCGGCGUGCUUAACACAUGCAAGUCGAACGGAAAGGCCCUGCUUUUGUGGGGUGCUCGAGUGGCGAACGGGUGAGUAACACGUGAGUAACCUGCCCUUGACUUUGGGAUAACUUCAGGAAACUGGGGCUAAUACCGGAUAGGAGCUCCUGCUGCAUGGUGGGGGUUGGAAAGUUUCGGCGGUUGGGGAUGGACUCGCGGCUUAUCAGCUUGUUGGUGGGGUAGUGGCUUACCAAGGCUUUGACGGGUAGCCGGCCUGUGAGGGUGACCGGCCACAUGGGGACUGAGAUACGGCCCAGACUCCUACGGGAGGCAGCAGUGGGGAAUAUUGCACAAUGGGCGGAAGCCUGAUGCAGCAACGCCGCGUUCGGGAUGACGGCCUUCGGGUUGUAAACCGCUUUCGCCUGUGACGAAGCGUGAGUGACGGUAAUGGGUAAAGAAGCACCGGCUAACUACGUG
rnacentral:rRNA from 1 species